GCAACACGCGCGAGUCCAAUUCGGAUGCUCGUGGGCCCGUGACCCUACAUAACAUACCUACAAAAUCUUCACCGCGCGGUCUCCUCCCUGUACGCAGCCAAAACUCAGACCUAUCUCGACCCCGCUCUCCGACGACCGCCCAGCCGCCGCCCAGGAACCAAUCGCCGGCGCGCCGCCCCCUCCAUAAGAAUCGCUCAAGAUCGAUGAAGAUCCACGUGAGGUUGCUAAACAACACGGCCCACGAUCUCGAGGUCGAGGGCUCGGACACCGUCGGCAGCGUGAAGGCGAAGAUCAUGGAGAAGGAGGGGGUUCCCCCGCAGCAGCAGCUCCUCUUCUUCGCCGAUCAGGGGCUGGAGGAUGCCCGGACGCUCGCGGACCAUGGCAUCGAGGACGGGGCCUCGGUCUGCCUGAUCGCCAUCAACAUGCAGGGUUAAAUUUGUUUGAUACUCUAGAUUAAAUUUGUUUGAUACUCUAGAUCGAUGAGUGAUUUUCAGUUUUUUUGUAGUUUGCUUAGCGUUUUCAGUUUGGUUGCAUCGUUGUUGUCCAGCCCAGUAUAGAUAGUCUUCGUUUACAUA